GUUUCAUUUUGUAAUACAUAAUGCCAAAUUGCCCUCCAUGAGAACAUAUCAUGACAAAUUUGACUUAAUAGAUAAAUAUAGAGCCUUAAGCCCAAGGAUUGGAGAAUACACGUUAUUCCCAAGAACAUUUACAAGGAAAAUUGAAGAAAAUUGACAUAUAUUUGGCCAUAGACCAAGCCACAAUAUACUUCACAGUACUGGUGUCACACAGAUCGCAUUCUCUGAUCUGCUCAGAUCACAAUGCAAUAAAAUUAAAAACUCAAUAAAAAUACAACUGAAAACAUAAAUAGGUUUGGGAAUUAAGAAACACGUAUCUGAACAAUUCAUGGGUCAAAGACAAUAUUACAGUAUAUUAAGAACCGUGUGAUAAAAAGCAUACUAUAUAUCAUGUGAGACAUAGAACACACAGGAUGAAAAUAAAGCUGUUUUAAUAGGAAAGGCUGGAGGAAGGGAAGGCCUGGGGAAGCCUCUGACAAUAACAGGUAUUAGGGAUAUUAUAGAGGUUAAAUGGACAGGAUUUAGUGAUCGUUUUUGUAAUACUUAGUAAACUCAGGCAGAGCUCGCCCAUCUCAGGUAACUGUGUAGCAUCGUUUAUGAUGGAAGGGACGUGUCAAAAAGACUCAUUGAGAAUACCUCACCCCUCAUUGCUGGAAGAAGCUAGAGUUUUAACCUUAUGCAGAAAUGUAUACAUAAAAAUAAAAAUACAGUCCUGUGGAUUGUACAGCAUUGUGUACCUGAUGCAAACUCCCACCUCAUCUAGCUAAGGAGUGAGCUCCUCUGCUGGUCCAUCCUGGAUUCUUCUUGUUUUUUUGAAGUUCCUCCUCUUGUCCCAAGGGGUUCCUGGUCAACUGAGGUUUCAAUCUGCACGGUCCACCAUCAUGUUUGACAUUACACUCAGGGUCCCUCAGAAUGAAGCAUGCGUGUUCCAGUCCUGGGGCCCCUGAGCUGCCAUCAGAGCUCUCCGUGCUGCCUUCUCUGCUCUGCUGCUCCCUCAACACGCAAGCUGUUUGCAGAAAAGAUCUGCUCUCAUGAGGAGGGUCUUAGAAUGGAGGACAGAUGGUCUCUGUCACAGACAUUGAUGCUCAACCCUGGAUCCUGGAUUCAGGUAUGAGAAGCCACAGGCUGAAACUAAAGUUAAUACUUGCACAAACUUGGGCUCUGGGAAACAUGGGCUCCGGUAGCGGGUAAUGCGAGAUGCGCAGCAGGCGAUGCGCAGGGAAAGCGCGCAGUGGGCUAUGCGCGGUGGGAGACGUACAGCGAGAGACGAGCAGUGAGAGGUAAAUGUAGCGGGAGAUGCGCAGUGGGAGGGGACGCUGCUGAAUUUGCCGCUGUGGCAGUGCCAGAGGCAUCACCCUUGGCGUUAACGCCCACAGUCUCUUAGUGACGGCGGGUGUAGUCCUCCCAUCCUCAUGCUUUUCCCUCGUCUCCCGCCGUAGCCCCUCACUCCCACGGAAGGUUCUUCAUUCAUGGGCUGUGAGAGCGCAAUUCAUGAAUUCAUGUGAGACAUCUCUGGGAUCCACCAGAAGUACAUGGGGAAGUGAAAGGGGUCCCCAGAUAUAAAGCAAGAGCAAAAGGCAGUCGGAUGGCAGUCGGGGGAAUCUUAUUCAGUUGUUAAGAUCUAAAGCCAGAGCCUAAAGUGAAAAUCAGUCAGUCAAAACUACUCUUGGGGCCGGCCCGGUGGCCGAGUGUUUGGGUUCACGAGCUCUGCUUCCCUGGCCUAGGGUUUCACUGGUUCGAAUCCUCGGUGUAGACAUGGCACCGCUCAUCAGGCCGUGCUGAGGCGGCAUCCCACAUACCACAACUAGAAGGGCCCUCAACUAAAAGUACACAACUAUGUACAGGGGGGGCUUUGGGAGAAAAAGGAAAUAUAAAAUCUUAGAAAAAAAACUACUCUUAAUAUUCCUUAAAUUGCCCGUUAAGUACUCCAAAGUAUGUAAGGUCAUUUGUUUUUUAAAAAAAAAUUAAAUAGCAAAUAUACAUAUAAAAUUUUUGCAGUGGUG
rnacentral:lncRNA from 1 species